AGUGUUCGAACAAAGAAAACUUCUUAUCUUAAAACCUCAACACCAUUUUAACAUGUGGCCAAAGGGAACAUUUUAGAAAAAUCCAAUUAUCAACGGUUAGAUCACAAUGAGCAACAGCUUUAUGUAUCUACUAGACAAUGAUAAACUUGGGAAAUCUGCUAAAUACAUCACCGAGCAGGACAACGACAGCUCAAUGUCCCUGCACUAGCCACAAUGGCACUUCUUUCAUUACUAUAUAAUCCCUUUUGUUUCAGUUAGUUUGUUAAAACUAAACCUGCGUUUUAUCUUAUAAUGCAAAAUUGAAGGUCGUGUAACACAGAUAAACAGAAUAUAAUCAGAUACUUUUUUCAGCAGAUUUGCUGUCCAUAUUUCACGUUGUCUAAAAAUACACUUUAGGUAACAUUUAUGAGGUAAGCAGAUGACUAACCAAAUUCCAGAAGAAAAAACAAAUUUCCCAGAUGGAAUCAGAGUUUUCUUAUUCAUACAUUUCUUUUUCUGGAUAUAUAACAAACUAACUUUGCCCAAAUAUAGGUCAUGGCCCAAGAAACUUAUUUGCAAGUAUGAUUCAUGACAGCUUGUGGACGGACACCAUCAAUAUUGUUUUCAGAUUGCAAGUACAGAUUGGUCUCCAAGAAAAAGGAAAUAAAUUUGAAAUAUAUGGCAGAGAUUAAAAAAACAAAAAACACUGAUGUUCCUCUAAAUACUUCGAGAAAAAAAACAUGGACGUGUAAAAGUGGUGCAAAGGCACUAGUAAUUAAAUUUGAAUUCUCAGCCAGUAGCGAAACCUGUUUUAAGGUACCGGCGAUGCAACGAAGAGGAUUAGUCUCCUGACUUGGAAGGGUGCCAGAGGAUGCUGGAGGAUAUCCUGGUACAACCAAAAAAAAUAAUUUCGGAUCAACCAAAAUUUUUCCUUCAUUUUCAAGAGACUGGUUCCUCUCAGGAACUACUCGCCACCUGUUCUGUGUCUUUCACGUUCACGAUAUUCUAUCUUCUUGUUCUUCGUAUUCCUGGCUACUUCCUGUUAUGAGCCUUAGAUUUCCAUGGAAAAUCCAAGAUUUCAAAAUUUGAAGCUUGUGUUCGUUGUAUAAUGCUUCUUGGUUUUUGUCUUGAGACUCGGGGUUCUCGUGGCUGCUGUUGAUGAGUUUGAUGAGUCGAACAAAGGUGAUGGUUAUGAUUCUGGGGUCACAGAAGAAGAACAGAUUGAUGAUAAUAGCACUAUUGAUGGUGGUGCUUAUGCUGCCAGCUCUAAUGGUGUUAGAAUGGACCAGGAAAUAUCCGAGCUCUGCAAUAGCGAUAUGAGUAGUUUUCUUCCUCCACCAUACAAAAACAUAUCAAACAUGAUCUGCAGACCAGUUUGGAAUACUUUUCUGUUGAGGGUGAGUUUUGAUGGUUUAUUUUUCUUUUAUCUCUUUGUAUCUAUACAUGGGUAUGGCCUAGUGUCAUCAUCUUGUGCAUGCAGCAUCACGAGAAAGAAGAUAAUGUAGUGAAUUCUAUAUUAUCUGCUGUAUACACAACCGGAUGGGUGGCAAUGGGGUUUUCAAAAGAUGGAAGGAUGGUUGGAUGGCUGGUUUAAUAGGAAAGGACAAGCAAGAAUCAAAGAGUCUUGCUUGCAAGUUACUAGGCUAUCACAAGACAUAGAGGAAGCAGGUGAAUUGGACCUCACAAAAGUUCCACCUGCUGUUGUGAUUCAUGGGGCUAUGAUUUACAAGGUAUUUCAAGCCAAGUUUGAAAACCCUCUCACUUCCCAACCAAUUAUAUUGGCUUUUGGAGCCAGCUAUCCCAAUCACUACCGCCUAUCAUCACAUGAUGACAAGACGACCAUUCUUUUCGACUUCACUGCAGGUUCUAUGUCUAAAGCACGUAUAAAUCCUGGGAAGAUGAAGAAGAAUCAUGGGGUAUUAGGUACCCUGGCAUGGGCUUCCUAGUGGGGCAAUUGUUGCAAGAUAAUUGAAGCAUAAAGAACCACUCUGGUAUUAUCUACAUGCGGGUAUUCAAUUUCUGGGGUUUCUCUUGGGGCUUGCCAAUGUGAUUCCUGGACAACAACUCGGCAAUAAGAUUAAUGCCAAGUACAUCACAUAAAGGCAUGGGGAUUUUUGCUCUCACUCUUAGUGUUCUUCAGAUAUUGGCUUUCUUUCUAAGGCCAAAGAGAGAUGCCAAGAUCUGCAAGGGCUGGAAAUGGUACCACCAUUGGUUUGGAAGGAUUGCCCUCUUCUUUGGAGCCUUCAAUAUUGUGAUGGGAAUCCAUUUAGGAGCUGCAGGGAUGUCAUGGAAGAUAGGCUUUCGUUUUCUAAUCACUACGACGAAACGUUGUCUUGGUUGAGGAGAUCAGAGAACACUAAUCCACCUGAGACCUUCCAAAUGAAUCCAAUUCAAUUACUUUUUAGAGGGCUAGAAAGCCAUGUCCAGCUACGUUCUGGUUCAAUCUUGGACCUAGCCAGGACCAGAUUAUUAAAACUAUCUUACAAAGCUGUUGACUAUUGGCAAUUUCAGUAGUGUUGGCUGGAUGCUAAGAAGAUGAUUAAACAGCUGGAUGAUUGUUCGUCAAGUUGGAGCAACCGGCAGGUUUUCUGGGCCAAAAACCCAGUUACUGUACAAAUCGAAGGAGUUGAUGGGACAUCCAUGUUGAAGGAUUUCCUUGUUGUGAGGAAAUGCUAGGUUUGGCAUGUUUUUUAGAUAUUUGGAAUCUGCGGGUUGCCCUGUCUUCUAUAGUGUUUGGCAAUUUAUAAUUUGCAAAGAAAA